rnacentral:rRNA from 1 species
UUCCGGAUACGGCUCUCACGUUGGAACACGGAGAGCCGGAAACGGUCCGCCGCCGGAGGACGUGACUGCGGCCGAUUAGGUAGACGGUGGGGUAACGGCCCACCGUGCCGAUAAUCGGUACGGGUUGUGAGAGCAAGAGCCCGGAGACGGUAUCUGAGACAAGAUACCGGGCCCUACGGGGCGCAGCAGGCGCGAAACCUUUACACUGCACGACAGUGCGAUAAGGGGACCCCGAGCGCGAGGGCAUACAGUCCUCGCUUUUCUGUACCGUAAGGUGGUACAGGAACAAGUGCUGGGCAAGACCGGUGCCAGCCGCCGCGGUAAUACCGGCAGCACGAGUGAUAGCCACUCUUAUUGGGCCUAAAGCGUCCGUAGCCGGCCGAACGGGUCCGUCGGGAAAUCCACCCGCCCAACGGGUGGGCGUCCGGCGGAAACCAGUCGGCUUGGGACCGGGAGACCAGAGGGGUACGUCCGGGGUAGGAGUGAAAUCCCGUAAUCCUGGACGGACCGCCGGUGGCGAAAGCGCCUCUGGAGAACGGAUCCGACGGUGAGGGACGAAAGCUCGGGUCUCGAACCGGAUUAGAUACCCGGGUAGUCCGAGCCGUAAACGAUGCUCGCUAGGCGUGGCGCAGGCUACGAGCCUGCGCUGUGC